GAAAAAUCUCAAACAAAAAGUGGGAGGAAUUUGCGAUUGAAAUAGGGUCGCAAUUCGCAAAGUUUGAAUCAAUUUGACAAACAGAGACGGCUAUUGCUGAAUUGCGAUAAAAUUUCUCCUUGCAUGGUGAAAAAAUUUGCAAAGAAGAAUAUAGUGUUUCGAAAGAAUGGAAUCAUCGUCAUCUUCUUCGAUAAUAACCCCAGAAGAUGUAUUAGAAUCACUCAUGAAUGAUGGCACUAUUGACGCUCUCAGAUUGAAGAUCAUUAAUCAGCUCAAAGCUAAUGAAGAGCUAAAGAAUACCACUAUUAGAAUGGCUGAACAGAGCAAGGUUUUAAAUACACCUGGGGCUGAGAAGCAGACCAAAAGAGAGUUAUUUGAUGCACUUCGACAAGAACUCGAGUAGGUGUUUCUUUUUUGCUCAAACUUGUAAAACUCUGUGCUGGGGAUUUUAAUAGACGGCUUGGCUAUUGUGUUUGUCAAAUUAUUUGUUCCGGUUAAUGGGAUGGAUGACAUGUAAUCAGUGCAAUGGCUGUUAUGAGAUGCUAGAAGAAUCUAUUCAUGAAUAGCUGCAGCAAGGGUAAUUUAGAUUCCCAAAAUAUCAAAUACAAUUUUUAGCUACAUAGUGUCCAAGGUGGACAAAUGCAUGGAAGUAAACAACACUCUUAUGGACAUGUAAUCUAUUUUCAUCGGUCCUAUAUUUCUUUUACAUGCUUAAGCUGCAUUGCCAAUCAUUGUCCUUCAUACGCAUCUGGAAUUAUUUAUUCUUGGAAAAAGUAGGGAUAAUCUAUAUGGUUUGUCAUAUGCCAAUAUCUCAGGUUCAUUUUCUCCAAAACUGGUCAGAUGGAAGGCGCUGAGUGUUAUGCUUUAUUUAGUGGAUCAUUCAGUAUUUCAUUAUUCUUUCCUUGAUCAUUACUUCAAUCUUAUUAUGUUCUUGUUUGUCUUGCAGAACUCCAGUACUUGAGAAGGCCUCUAGAUCAGUGUGGGAGUUGAUCCUAGACAGCAAUGGACUGGGGAAAGAAAUAAGUGAAACAGUUGAAAAAGUGUUUUGUAGAUUAAGUGGCCGGGAACCUCCAUUGUUUCCACCGCAAAAUGCUGAAACCCAGUCAAAUAAAGAAAAAGAGAUCAAGGGAGGACAAGGAAAAGAAGAUGAAACUGAAGUUCAGAAGGAAAAACCAAACUCAAAUUCAAAGAAAAGGAGUUACAGUGUGAUGAACAAUGAAGGAGAGGGAAAUGAAUUUGUGAGCCAGAUGGCAAAUGAAAUUUCGGGAAAACCCAGUGAACCUGCUUGUCAACAAGAAAGUUCUAGUAAAUCCCCUUUGCAAACUUCAUAGACUAGAGCCCUUAUCUGAAACCAGCAAUGGAUUUCCGAAGCAACAUUGAAUCCAGUUAUUCCCCAACAUUUCAUUUGUCAUCAGAUAAUACUAACCUGACAUUGUUAGUACUUCCUGGAAGUGGAUGUAGUCGCUAAUAUUUGAAGUUUUUUAGUUGCAUGACGGACCUUCGUGUUUACACUUGGCAUUUGCCUAUUUUACUUAUUUUUGUAGUGAGUGUAUUGCAUGAACAUCCUAUAGGCAUAAUUCUUUUAGUUGUGCUGAUUUGAAAGAGUUUGAUCUAUCACUGUAAGUUUAUCUGACAUAGAGCUUGGCGUAGGAAAUCUUAAUUAAUGUUUCAUUUUUUUUUAUGUAAAAGUAAAUUGUGUGUAUAUUUGUGUCUUUGUAGUUUAUGGCAAAAUUGAGUUCAAUUAAUCAUAAUUCUCAAUGACAUGGGGU
rnacentral:misc_RNA from 1 species